rnacentral:rRNA from 1 species
UUGGCGGGGGCACGGGGGGCGUAGGGGAGGCAGCAGUGGGGAAUGUUAGACAAUGGAAGCAAGCAUGAUCCAGCCAUACCGCGUGGGUGAAGAGGGCAAUGGCGUUUUAAAGCCAAAUGUUGAAAGCACCGCCGGCGGGUGUGGGAGGGAAGACCAGG